GAUGAACGCUGGCGGCGUGCCUAAUACAUGCAAGUCGAGCGAACGGACGAGAAGCUUGCUUCUCUGAUGUUAGCGGCGGACGGGUGAGUAACACGUGGAUAACCUACCUAUAAGACUGGGAUAACUUCGGGAAACCGGAGCUAAUACCGGAUAAUAUUUUGAACCGCAUGGUUCAAAAGUGAAAGACGGUCUUGCUGUCACUUAUAGAUGGAUCCGCGCUGCAUUAGCUAGUUGGUAAGGUAACGGCUUACCAAGGCAACGAUGCAUAGCCGACCUGAGAGGGUGAUCGGCCACACUGGAACUGAGACACGGUCCAGACUCCUACGGGAGGCAGCAGUAGGGAAUCUUCCGCAAUGGGCGAAAGCCUGACGGAGCAACGCCGCGUGAGUGAUGAAGGUCUUCGGAUCGUAAAACUCUGUUAUUAGGGAAGAACAUAUGUGUAAGUAACUGUGCACAUCUUGACGGUACCUAAUCAGAAAGCCACGGCUAACUACGUGCCAGCAGCCGCGGUAAUACGUAGGUGGCAAGCGUUAUCCGGAAUUAUUGGGCGUAAAGCGCGCGUAGGCGGUUUUUUAAGUCUGAUGUGAAAGCCCACGGCUCAACCGUGGAGGGUCAUUGGAAACUGGAAAACUCGAGUGCAGAAGAGGAAAGUGGAAUUCCAUGUGUAGCGGUGAAAUGCGCAGAGAUAUGGAGGAACACCAGUGGCGAAGGCGACUUUCUGGUCUGUAACUGACGCUGAUGUGCGAAAGCGUGGGGAUCAAACAGGAUUAGAUACCCUGGUAGUCCACGCCGUAAACGAUGAGUGCUAAGUGUUAGGGGGUUUCCGCCCCUUAGUGCUGCAGCUAGCGCAUUAAGCACUCCGCCUGGGGAGUACGACCGCAAGGUUGAAACUCAAAGGAAUUGACGGGGACCCGCACAAGCGGUGGAGCAUGUGGUUUAAUUCGAAGCAACGCGAAGAACCUUACCAAAUCUUGACAUCCUUUGACAACUCUAGAGAUAGAGCCUUCCCCUUCGGGGGGGCAAAGUGACAGGUGGUGCAUGGUUGUCGUCAGCUCGUGUCGUGAGAUGUUGGGUUAAGUCCCGCAACGAGCGCAACCCUUAAGCUUAGUUGCCAUCAUUAAGUUGGGCACUCUAAGUUGACUGCCGGUGACAAACCGGAGGAAGGUGGGGAUGACGUCAAAUCAUCAUGCCCCUUAUGAUUUGGGCUACACACGUGCUACAAUGGACAAUACAAAGGGCAGCGAAACCGCGAGGUCAAGCAAAUCCCAUAAAGUUGUUCUCAGUUCGGAUUGUAGUCUGCAACUCGACUACAUGAAGCUGGAAUCGCUAGUAAUCGUAGAUCAGCAUGCUACGGUGAAUACGUUCCCGGGUCU
rnacentral:rRNA from 1 species